AGAGUUUGAUCCUGGCUCAGGACGAACGCUGGCGGCGUGCUUUAUACAUGCAAGUCGAACGAUGAAGUUCCUUCGGGAAUGGAUUAGUGGCGAACGGGUGAGGAACACGUGAGAAACCUGCCUUUCAUUCUGGGAUAACACCGGGAAACCGGUGCUAAUACCGGAUACUCCAUCUUGGCGGCAUCGCCGAGCUGGGAAAAAAUUUUGAUGAAAGAUGGUCUCGCGGCCUAUCAGCUAGUUGGUGAGGUAAAGGCUCACCAAGGCGACGACGGGUAGCCGGCCUGAGAGGGCGACCGGCCACACUGGGACUGAGACACGGCCCAGACUCCUACGGGAGGCAGCAGUAGGGAAUAUUGGGCAAUGGGCGAAAGCCUGACCCAGCGACGCCGCGUGAGGGAUGAAGGUCUUCGGAUUGUAAACCUCUUUCAGUAGGGAAGAAGCGAAAGUGACGGUACCUAAAGAAGAAGCACCGGCUAACUAUGUGCCAGCAGCCGCGGUAAUACAUAGGGUGCAAGCGUUGUCCGGAAUUAUUGGGCGUAAAGAGCUCGUAGGUCGUUUGUCGCGUCGAUUGUGAAAAUCUGAGGCUCAACCUCAGACCUGCAGUCGAUACGGGCAAACUAGAGUGUGGUAGGGGAGACUGGAAUUCCUGGUGUAGCGGUGGAAUGCGCAGAUAUCAGGAGGAACACCAAUGGCGAAGGCAGGUCUCUGGGCCAUAACUGACACUGNNNAGCGAAAGUGCGGGGAGCGAACAGGAUUA
rnacentral:rRNA from 1 species